GAUGAACGCUGGCGGCGUGCCUAAUACAUGCAAGUAGAACGUUGAAGCUUGGUGCUUGCACCGAGCGGAUGAGUUGCGCACGGGUGAGUAACGCGUAGGUAACCUGCCUCUUAGCGGGGGAUAACUAUUGGAAACGAUAGCUAAUACCGCAUAAAAGUCGAUAUCGCAUGAUAUUGAUUUGAAAGGUGCAAAUGCAUCACUAAGAGAUGGACCUGCGUUGUAUUAGCUAGUUGGUGAGGUAACGGCUCACCAAGGCGACGAUACAUAGCCGACCUGAGAGGGUGAUCGGCCACACUGGGACUGAGACACGGCCCAGACUCCUACGGGAGGCAGCAGUAGGGAAUCUUCGGCAAGGGGGGCAACCCUGACCGAGCAACGCCGCGUGAGUGAAGAAGGUUGUCGGAUCGUAAAGCUCGGUUGUAAGAGAAGAACGAGUGUGAGAGUGGAAAGUUCACACUGUGACGGUAACUUACCAGAAAGGGACGGCUAACUACGUG
rnacentral:rRNA from 1 species